rnacentral:misc_RNA from 1 species
ACCAUCCUCAUGCCACUUCGAAAAUCCUUCUUCAAGGACCUUUCUCAUCCAUGGGUGCCUGCAACAUUCAAUUGCCUCAGGAAUUGUCAGCCAACUUCUUUUUCGGCGGCUCUGUUCUGGCCAACAGUCAAGCUCUUCCUUAACAAACAAAGCGAACAUGGCAGCUCUACACAGACCUUCUGGACUGAACUCGUCCUGAAGUGUUUUGCUUUUAAAGGGGUAGUAUCCCAAAAAAUGCACUAUAUCCCCACGAACUCCAGCCUCCUCUAUGGCUUCACGAACAGCUGCCUCUUUA